rnacentral:rRNA from 1 species
AUGGACAACAACUUGGUAACGGCGGCCAUCACCGCGCAAGAGCCGCCCUUGCCGCCCUCGUCGACGCUUGGAAGCAUCGCCAGCCAGUGGCGUGAGCUCCAUGGCGCCAGGUCGUGGCACGGGCUGCUGGACCCCAUCGACGACGACCUCCGUGCCUUCGUCAUCGCCUACGGCGAGCACGCGGCCGCCGCCUACGACGGGUUCAACGCCGAGAGGCGGUCACCGCGCGUCGGCUCCUGCCUGUACAGCCGCGCCAAUCUGCUCGCCGCCUGCGGCGUGUCCUGCCCGGCGCACUACACGGUCACCAAGUUCCUGUACGCGCCCGCCGGGCUGUGGCUGCCGAAGAGCACGUCGGCGUCCCCGGCGACACAAGCAGCGACCGAGCCGUUCUUCGUGCGGCCGCUGCGGGAGGGGCCGCUGUGGAGGGAGGCCAACUGGAUGGGGUAUGUGGCGGUGGCGACGGAUGAGGGGGCGGCGGCGCUGGGGAGGCGCGACAUUGUUGUGGCGUGGCGCGGCACCGUGAUGAAACUGGAGUAUUUAAGCGACGGCGACUGGCUGCACGCGCCCGCCACGAAGGUGCUCGGCCACUCCAUGGCGACCGCCUACAAGGACGCUAGGGUGCACCACGGAUUUCUGUCCGUGUACACGUCCGCGGACAAACAAUCCAAGCACAAUAACACCAGCGUCCAAGAUCAGGUCCGCGAGGAGGUGCGGAGACUAUUGCAGGUGCACAAGGAUGAGGAGGUCAGCAUCACCGUGACUGGUCACAGCCUAGGCGCGUCGCUUGCAACCCUCAACGCCGUCGACAUGGUGGCUCAUGGCAUCAAUGUGCCUCCUGCCUACUCCAAGCAGUCGUCGUGCCCUGUGACGGCGAUCCUAUUCGCGAGCCCACGCGUUGGGAAUGGCGGAUUCAAGGCUGCAAUCGCUUCAUUCCCCGAUCUUCGUGCCCUAAGUGUGAGGAACGAAUUUGACCCUGUGCCCUCGUUGCCAAUGAUUGGGUACGAGGAGGGCACGGCGACGGAGGUGUUGUGUAUCAACACGACCAAGUCACAAUGCCUACGCAAGUUCUCUGUUGACUUGUUCAGGUUUUGGAAGGACCACCACAACCUCGAGGUCUACCUGCACGGCGUUGCCGGGUAUCAAGGUGCUAGCAAGGAGUUCCGCCUGGUGGUCAAUCGUGAUGUAGUGCUUCUGAACAAGUGGGCCGACUUGCUGAAGGAUGAGCACUUGGCGCCAGCGAACUGGUGGGUCGCUCAAAACAAGUGCAUGGUCAGGGGUGUAGAUGGCCACUGGAAAUUCGAUGACUACGAGGAUGACCAAUUAAGUGGUUAG